GUGAGAGACCGUCAUCGGAAGUUUAAAAGUGAAGGUAAACAAGUUCGGAUGAUUUCUCUUACUUAUCUACUGAUUUAGGUAUUACCUCAUACUCAAACUUGAGGCACUUUCAGUUAUCAAUCAGUUCCCAGUGAUGACUGCACUCUAUUAAAUGAAUAACUAGUCCUCAGUUAGUUUAAGCGUGCUCGUGAAUAUUGUAUUUUCAGAUAAACUUGCUGAAGAUGAGUUGUCUGACGUUAGAGAAAGCCUGAGAAAAAUUCUUUGGGCUCUCAACCAAGAUGAUCAACAACAAGAACCACCUACCACCUCGCAGAAUGUGGAAGCUGCCUCAUAAUGGAAACGGUUACCUACUCCACUUGAAAAAAUGUUUCAAGGGUUUUUGAAGUUAUCUUAUGUUUAUUGCCAUUCAGCUUGUUUUGUUUUCCCCACAUAGUUUUAUUAGUGCUCUCUAAGUUCAUAAUUUAAUUUUAUUCACUAAUUGUAUACUAUUGUUUUUAAAUGUUGCAUUAGUCAUGGGGAAGUUCUGAUUUUGACCAUCGUCAAUUCUGUUGGAAUGUUGGAAUGUAGACAUGUGUAUCUCAUUCUCUGCGGAAACUGUGAUUUUACUGCCUUACUAUUUUACUAUUUUAUGUAAACGGGCGAUAAAUGUAAGAAAUCACAACAUAAAUAUGGUAUGCGCCUGUGUUCAUUAUCUCAAAACACACAAUUCAACGACGUUUUAUCCAAAACUUGAGAAAUACCACAAUUCUAUAGACGUUCGCAAUGGCAGCAUUGUAGAAAAGUGACGUCACAUUGUAACGCAAGUAUCCUCUGGCGUCACAUGUUCAGAACGUUUUGGCCUUGCACUCAAGCACAUCCUUUCUGUACAAACAUUUCGGUAAUUUCGUCGCAUUGUUGAAAUGAGGGGAAUUGAAAUAUGUUUAUGUAAGAAUGUGAUCCGAAACAAGUGAUUUUUUUUAUUGUAUUUCGCCUUUUGUAGACAAAAUAUAAAUUGUCAUUUUUGGUUAUCUUUAAUUAAAAAUAUUGUUACAAAUGAAUUGUAUAGUUAAUAAUUUUAUGUUGUUCACUUAUUGUACGCUAUGGUUUGCACUGUUUCGUUUACUGAUUAUGAUUUCCACGAUUUGGCAUCAUUAAUUCUGCUGCAAAGUUAAUUUCACCAUUCCCUGCGAUUACAGUGGUGUGUUUAUAAGGGGAAAGGAAGAUAGUAACAGUGCAGAGCAACUGCUAAUCUGUUACUUCUGCUGCAUAUUGAACACGAACAUUCUGAAUUAAACUUUCAGAAUCAAAGGUAUGAUGUUCAAUGACUUGAGCGACAUUGUGAAAUGUCGACUAAGAUGAAUUAUCAUAUUGAUUAAACAUUAUUGUAAGCUUUGAAUUAUUACGUCUUUCAUCGAAUAUUCACAAUGCCUCACAAGCUCGUGAUUUGGUAAAACACCAACCUUAUGGUGAUUAUGUUCAGUGUAGGCAAAUUUAUAUUUUACCAAACAUAGAAUAGAACUGCAGUAUUCUUUAACAUUUUGGUGUUUAUAUUUCUUUAUAAUCAGAAUGAGUUUAUAUGUGGCUCUCUAUAUCUUAAGCCGAUGACCAGCUAUAGUUUGUUUUGCUUUCAGGCAGUUAAUUUUUCGUUUGCUGGUAGUAAGCUACUUUAUUAAUGACGACAUACACACGCCAACAAAAUAACACAAUGUAUCAUUUCGGAGAUAUUACGGCCAAAUGCAACUGUUUCAAAUAAGGGAAAAGACCAAAAGCCGCAAAGGUCCAGAACCUAGAAACUGAAAUGGAUCCCGCUAGUGUCCCCGCUAUACUGAUUCGCACUUUAUAUUUCUAUAGGUGCCAAAACUUGUAAAAUACCUCGACCUGUUAGACGUUGAUUUUCGGUAUUAGAGUCCAUUUUUUAUAAUUAUAUCAGCUCAGUUAGGAACAGGUCAUUUAUUACAGAGGAUGAAGGAUCGGUCAGAGUGUUUUGGUCUACUAAUGUAUUGAAAAUAAUGACCCUCCCUAAUUCUUGUCAUAUUUUUGGAUGAACCUCACCAUGCCCUUGAACAUUUUGUUCACUAUCCUACCUUUAUGUGUGUAUUAUUUUAUUGCUUUAACCCUUUCUUAGAGGGUCAUAUUAUUUUUAACCAAACUUAGAACAGAACUGUAUUAUUGUAUUUCAUUUUGUUGUUUAUAUCUCUGUGCAACCAGAAUUGAGUUUUGUGGCUCUCUUGUUUGUUUCGUUUUCACGCAGUUAAUUAUUCGUUUUUUACUUGUAAGUUAUUUUAUUGAUCAAAGAGCUUUAUUUUUCACUCAUAUCCUAGAGAAGAUUAGUUCAUAGUUUUAUGCUGACCUUAAUGUGAAUUAAAAUAGGAUCGUUUUCGGGAGAGGCAAAUAAACUGCCGAACAAUAUGAAACAAACAAGACAUGGUUAUUCGAUAGUGAUUAAUUAACAGGGGUAUUAUAGUUGUGUUUUAGACCUUGAGUUGGCAGUGUUUUGGCGACUGUUUUCUGCCAAGUAAAGUUUGAUAACGUUUGAAAUUUUUAGACCAAAUCCAAUGUUUAAGUGUAUACUUUAUUUUGCCCAGUUUGUAUUUCUAUGGGGUAGUUGUGGUUCGAGGCCUUGUUCCAAUAUUUGUUGUAGUUCGCUUUUCUACAUGAAUAAAGAGAUCUGGUAUCUCA